UCUUAUAGAUGAGCAAAGAAAGUGGUUUCUUGAGAUGGAAUCUACUCCUGGUGAAGAUGCUGUGAA
rnacentral:pre_miRNA from 1 species